AGCUUUGCGCAGUGGCAGUAUCGUAGCCAAUGAGGUUUAUCCGAGGCGCGAUUAUUGCUAAUUGAAAACCAAAGAAGAUAUACAGAUGGCCAAUAUACACAUGAAAGGAUGCUCAACAUCACUAUACAUAUGUAUAUAUAUACAUACAUAUGUAAUAUUAUAUAUUAUUUAUUAU
rnacentral:snRNA from 1 species